GCAAACACAAGUUGGUCAUUGUUCAUGCAAGAAAUGGGCCCUUUGUGUCAGAAAACAAGAGUCUGGAAGACAAGGGAGGGAGAGUUCAGCGUUGCAAUGACAUGUCCUGGGCAACACAGAGGGCCGGCUCCUCGGUGCUGACAUUCCGUUUCUGCCUCCUGCCUUUCCCCUUUCAUCAACCUACACCCACCUGAGUUCCGGCACCCACACCUGGCCCUACGAAGGAGAUGUGAGCCAAGGCAGAGAAGCCACAGCCUGCCCUGGCCUUCCCAGCCCUUUGUCUCUGGAGGAGCCCCGCUAUCUUCUGGCUUUUGCUCAAGUCCCUCCCCUCUAAGCCUCUUCGGACCCUUUCUUCCCAGAGCCGGGGUUCUGAAGAACGGCAACAGAUCAGCAGCUGUGACUGGCCCACCACUAAUACCUACAGGAUGGCUGCCACAGGCUGAUACAAGCAUAGAAACAGGCUGUGGAUGAGAUUUGCCAUCUCCAGAGCAAGAACAAUAAGAAAAUGAAGAACUAUAUGCACAUGAUCUCAAGCUUCCUGUUACCUGCAUCCACCCAGCAGAGCUGAGAGGAGAAUGCAUCAAAGGUCAGGCCAUUGGGCAGGCCCAGGUUGUCCUGUGCGAGAAUCCUCCGGUUGGUGCCGUCCAUGUAAGAAGUCUCAAUUUUGGGAUUCUCUCUGUUCCAAUCUGUCCAAUAAAGGUUCCUGAAGAGGUAACAGGGGAGAAAGAGGAAGCAAGGGCCUGAAAACACUUUCAGAGAACCAGGGAGGAAGCGCUCAGCAGACAGGAAAACAACACAGCUAAGUGAGACCCUGAGAUGCUAAAAGAGAUUCCAGGGUUAUCUUGGCUCUUUGUUCAAAUGGGGUUAUCUGUUAUUAUCAAAUUCUGCUUCCUUUAUAGUAUCUUGGGAAAGCUAGUAAGAAAACUUGGAGGUCCUGGGGCGGGGACGGGAGGGCAGUUCAAUGGGCAAAGUGAGGACCAGUAUUCAAUCCCCAGUACUAUGGAAAAAAGAAAAAAAGCUGAGUGUGGUGACUGAGGCUUGUGAUCCCAGGGCUGGGGAAAAGGAGGCAGGUGGGUCACUGGGUCUCUCUGGCUAGCCAGCUUGCCCUACUGGGGGAGGGACAGGCCAGUGAGAGACCCUGCUCAAGGUGCAAAAGGUGGCCAUUGCCUGAAGAAUGAUACACAAGGCUUGUUACCAAACACACACGCACGCACACACACUCAUCAACUUGGACCUGACAUAAACAAACAGUAAUUCCCUGAGUAAUAAACCUCUGUAGGAGGCCACAGUAGAGCAACAUGGUAUGACUAAAGCAAGAUGUAGAUACCAGCAAGGUAGUGAUGGAGAUGUCUGCUGCAUGUGAGGGGGCUGAGUGGCCAUAGCACAAGCGAUGUUGUCUCCAAGGGAAAGCAUCAAAAUGUCUAGGAGCUUGGGCCUGGGGUGUAAGACCAAGAGCUUGCCAUACAGUGAAACGGGAGAAAGCCGCAAUGGGCCGAAAAGUCCCUCAGGAAGGGGACUCCAGGAUGCUCAAGCCACAUCUGCUCCAACAAGGAGUGCCGGGGCAUGGUCAGGCCACCCCAACAGCCUCACGGUAUUUAUGCAAUUUGAGUAUUAGUUCACAUUCACUAUAUAGAAAUGACUCCAUUUCUGAGCUGUCACCCUACAAAGUCUCUUGGCAAAAAUGUGAAACUGGACCAUGGUAUCAAGUCCACACUGUGUAGACUUGGUUUCAUCUUGCAUGGAUGAAACAUCUCAGGAGAGCAAUGCUGGCAUUAGAACCUCCUCUGAGACCACCCAAGAAAGCCAGACACUCAAAGAAGAGACCGACGCAUGUGUGCAGGCAAACGCACCCUCUUACGGAGUCCGUCACAAUGCCUCUGGGAUUCACCAACCCCGUGUCAAACAGUACUCGACGCUGUGUGCCAUCCAUCUUUGCGACUUCUAUUCGAUCCUGCUGAGAGUCUGUCCAGAAGAUGUUGCGGCCAAGAUGGUCAAGGGCAAUGCCUUCAGGGCUUCCAAGAUCUAGAAGGAAAACACUGAGUCAUACCCUAGCCUAUAAGUUUGCUGGUUUACUCAGUUGUCUUAGACAUGGUGGUCAAACCUUGAGAAACCAAAUGGGAAUACGAAAUUCUUACUGUUUAUGGGUAAUCUUCCAAGUGACAAAUUAAAAAAUGCUACCCAUCCAUCCUCACCUAUCCACUGGGUACCACACCGGGAACCUGGAAGGUCACUGUGACAAAGAUGCAACCCUGUCCAUUAAGAAGCCCACAGCCAACCACCAUCCAAACUGAGGUCUAGUUUCUAUGGGCAGAUAGAGUGGCAGGACCAGAGGAGGACUGGCGUUCACGAGGGAAGGGUUCUGGAGAAGUGUGGGCACCUGUCGAAGAAGCUGCUUCCUGAAGGACCAAUGAGAGUUUAUCAGACAAGGACCUUGACUAAGUGUUUUCAGACAUAAAGAAGACUACAAGUGGCUUGAAGUGGGCUGCAAGUCAUUUUCUAUGGCCAGAGACCACGAGAGGGAAGGAGUAGCCCUCAGUGAAAUGAGGACGGAGAGCACACGGCGGCAGAGCAGACUCUGGGAGAGGCCACUGCAGGCUCAGAAGCCACAGGAAGGAAUGGAAUGGUGACUUUAGUCUCAUGAACCACAAAGAUGGACUAUGUAAGCUUCCAGAGAAAGGCACAGGCACCUGCCUUGUUUCAGUUUUAUUAGCCUGAGACAAGCAGCUGACCUCAGCCAGAAUGUCCCUGAUUUAAUGACUCGGUGACCUGUGGGAAACGCCAGAGGAGUUGAAAAAAGUAGAGUGUGGAGGCAGAGGACCCAGCUCCUUGCAAUCCAAGCAGCUUUCUCCAUCCUCCACCUCCUGCCAAGAGCAGUGUGGGCUGCUAGAGGCAGCACCCAAAGGGACAAUAUUGGCUUGCUCACCUUGUCGAAUGAUGGUGGUUGGCUCCCCGCCAUGUAGGCUGGCUCUCCCAAUGGAAGGCUCGCUGAUGUCUGUCCAGUAAACCACCUUGUCCACACAGUCAAAGGCCAGCCCAAUGAUGACUUUUGCCUGGAAGUGACACCAGUGAUUGGGAACAGUUCACCCACUAGUUAGUUAUUGUUGUCUGGAAACUUCCCAUGUGCCUAUAUAUCUCCUCAGAUAGUAUUUUACAUGAAACAAAUAUGCUUUGUCCAUUCACAGUUUUUAAUUGUUGAAUUGUAGAAACUACAUAGUUCAGAAAAAAAACUCUUUUCUAAA